rnacentral:rRNA from 1 species
UACGUAGGGACCAAGCGUUGUUCGGAUUUACUGGGCGUAAAGGGCGCGUAGGCGGCCACUGCAAGUCGGUUGUGAAAUCUCCGGGCUAACCCGGAAAGGUCAAUCGAUACUGCAGGGCUAGAGUGCAGAAGGGGCAACUGGAAUUCUCGGUGUAGCGGUGAAAUGCGUAGAUAUCGAGAGGAACACCUGCGGCGAAGGCGGGUUGCUGGGCUGACACUGACGCUGAAGCGCGAAAGCUAGGGGAGCGAACGGG